UGUUCCCCAAGAUGGCCACAUCCUGAUCCCUGGCACCUGUGAAAUUGCCGUAGGAAGAGACUUUGCAGAUGUAAGUAAGGUUCUAGAUCAUAUGGAGAUGAUCCCAGAUUAUCUAGGUGGGUCCAAUUGAAUCACAGGUACCCUAUAAGGAGAGAAUUUUCUCCAGCUGGAAGCAGAAGAGAUCUAGCAGAAAAAGUCAGCAAGACUUGAAGUUUGUGAAGGAGUAGAUGCAUCAUUGCUGGCUCUGAGACUUAAGGACCAGAUAAAGGCCUCGGGAGCUAAGGGUGGCCACCAGCUUCCAGCCAGCAAAAUGGGACCUGCAACCACAUGAAACUGGGUUCUGCCACCAACUCACGUAAGCCUGGAACGAGAGGCCCCCUCAGAGCCUCUAGAUAAAAACUCGGAACUGCCAGCACCUGUUUCAGUCCUACGUGACCCUCAGCAGGGAAGCAGCUCAGCCCUGCCGUGCCAGGACUCCUGACCCGUGGAAACUGGGAGAUACUAAACUCAUGCUGAAGAAGCUACUAAGUUUGUUACGACAGCAAUAGAAAACUAACACGGCGAAAUAAAAGAUCCUGGUUUCCUCGAAGCCUGAUUUCUGGGCUACUGCCAAUAAGAGCCAUCAACAAGAGCUAUAUAUGACUGCUUGAGCAGUUCCUACUGAAGGCGUGAUCCUAGCGUUAAGACCACUUUUUUCAGGGCAUGAAGAUCAUUGCAUAUUUUUAGAGUUGGAAAAAUCAGUUACAGUGAACAUGUACAUGCAGGAUGGGGCAGUUCAACCUUCUCAUCAUCAUAAUUAACACGAAGGUUAUCAAAGAAAUACAAUUGGAUAGAAGAUGAGAAGCACUUUCCUAGACUCAUGAAGUUCUCUAGUGAUGAGUUAUGGUAGAACAUUCUCUCUCCAACCUCCUUCACCACCUGCCUGCAAGCUCUUCAGGUGCCACAAAAUGGAGAACUACCUCUCAGCUUCAGACUUCCUGUAAAGUGCCCAGCAAACAAGGAAUGUUGCCUGUUAGGAAUUAUAAGAACAGAAGAGAGGGAUCUCCAAGUUGAGUUUGGGGCUCUAUCCCUGGGUACAUCCUCUUCAUGUACUUUGGUCCCAGGGUUGCAUUCAAAUACCGUGUCUUAACACAGCAGGGCCUUUCAGUUGCCAGCAUUGUACCUGAGAGUCAUUCCCUCAGGAAAUGCAAGAAACAACUGGUCAGAGGAAUAUGUGACUCACCCAUGGAAUUAAAUGAGAGACUAAAUAGAUAACCAUGUCACUGGAAGAAAUGAAGGCAUUCCCUACCAAAUAUCAAUUUUAAAUAGCUUCACAUACUGUUGCAAAGAUCACACACUUACAUCUGUUGCUCUUCUGUAUGAGAUAGAUAGGGUCAAGCCUGGAGGAGACUGAGAUGCAGCCCCAGUGUCUGAGGUUGUGUCAUGCCAAGGUAGUGGAACCCCCUGGGACCCAGGAGGUGGUCAGGGUGAACCUCAAGGACCACAUUAACAAAAUUCAUCUGGAUUACCCAAAGCCAAGCACAAGCAAAGGAUUAGAAUAAGAUUAAGGGGAAAAUAAGUGACUUAGAUAUCUGUGCCCUUAUCCAAGUGAAAAAUAAAUUAUUGGGAAGAGUGCAGGACCUCACACUCUGUGACAUACUGCAGCUCAUAGUAUCUAUUUGCUUUUGAUUCAGGUUUAGUCAUUUCUGCAUCAUCUUCUGAAUCAACCUCAUACAGAUCUCCAGCCUGUUUUCAUAUCCUGGAGUCCUGCUCCCAUUGUAAAUUCAGUUUUCCUAACCUUGCCUUCUAACCCAACCCAUUCUUUGCUUUUAUUGUUUUGGUUUUCUGUGACCUCCCCAUAGUGCAAAAUCUUGAUUAAGUGCCUCUGGAAGAAAAGGUUGCAUUGUAGGAAAAUUUUCUAUACACUCAGGCAGUAAGAAUGAACUGUCAGAAGCACUGCAGGGUAGUGCCUCUGAACAGACAAUGUGAAAAGAGUGUAGGGCUACAUUAAAAGAAAAAACUAAAAACAAACUAAAAGCCCCCAAGUUUUUAAAUUAUAUUAAAGUACUGCUUGUUCUCAAAACUUAUAGUCCACUGUUUGGUGCUGACUGGCAAAUUUCCACAAGCAGGUUAUCAAGGGGAAUGAGACGGAAAUAUUUGUUCCACCCUAGAAAAUACAUGCUUUAGGGCAAGUAUUACCAUUUAGGAGUAAAACAUCACUCAACAUUUCUUAAAUCCAAAGCAGUGGGUUGGGGUUUUCCCUGCUACACCUGCAUUCUUUGCUCUCUUUGCAGUCAUAUUUGGUGUUCUAUCUUCUAUCUCUGCUCUCAUUUUUCCACUCAUUCCACUUCUUCCAGAAAACAUUUGAGGGUGAAAAUAGAUCCUAUUAAGAAUUUCAUUGGAAUAAUAAGUAUAAACCAGUACCAUUUGGGAACAACCAAGAUGGUGUUCAUUAUACUGCAUGUCUGAAUAUAUAGGGCCUCAUAAAUCUGGAGAACUUCCCAAAACCACAGAGCUGGCAUCAUAAAAGUGGUUCCUGGGGUGCCUGGGUGACUCAGUUGGUUAGGUGUCCAACUUCAGCUCAGGUCAUGAUCUCACAGUUCAUGGGUUCCAGCCCCACCUUGGGCUCUGUGCGGACAGCUUAGAGCUUGGAGUUUGCUUUGGAUUCUGCAUCUCCCUCUCUCUCUACCCCUCUCCUGUUUGUGCUCUGUGUCUCAAAAAUAAAUUAACAUUAAAAAAGAUUUUUUAAGUGGUUCCUGAUGUUCUUAGUUUCUAUCUUGAUCAAGACUUUAACCUAUCUUGUGUUUGCUUUCUGAUUCAUUUCUGAUACCAUCUCCAACCUCCUGAAUAGUUUUCCUAAGUAUAGACUUGCCUCAGUUCUUGUCCUUACAUUUAACCAAGUCCAUGAAUCUUAGCCAUGGCCACCAUCUUUAACAUUGAUUGGUAGCCUUUUGUGAACUAUCACCUUCCCAUUCAAGAUAAAUUGUCAAGACCCACUGCCUUAGCUCCUCCUCACUUUUCCUUACGAUUUUACAGAAAAGACAUUCCACAGUAUCUACUAGUGUACCAAUUACAUGCAAAAAUCAUAAUCUUAAUAAUCUACCUCUAGAUGAUAAGGACUUUUAUAUACAUGAUUUUAUUUGAUACUCAUAGCAAGCUUGUGAAGAUGUGUUAAACAUUUCACAGAAGAGAAGCUAAAGUUCCAGGAAAAAUAGCACUGCUAACUUUGAAUGUUUUCUAUUAUGAUCUCAAUAUUCCCAAAUGUCAUAUACUUAUCCAAAGAUUUCUAGAUUGGGACUAUUAUAAACUAUCUGAUAUAGUUUAUAUCUAUAUCAGAGUCAAAUGCUAAACUAGUUUAUUGGAUUUGCAUUCCUAUGUUUGUCUUUAUAGGGCUUAAUUUUAUAUAAUUAUUAGAAAUGGACUUUUGGUAGCCCAAACGUUUGUAGUUGGGUCACUCAAAUUUCCCCAUGGGUUUUGCCCCAAACUCCAGUUUGGGACCAAACAGACCCUUUGAGGGGUAUGCAGUGUUCCAUCUUACAUGUCGUGUUGCCUUUACCACAUGAAUUUUACUACCUAUGCUCUCUAUAGUGGAGCCCCUGCUUCAUUCUCCUGAGUGCUACUCAUUGUGAUGUUUUCAUCCUUGGGUCAGGAUUCUUAAGACAACAUCGCUGAUGUCUGAUGUUAGAGCUUCCUGGCAUUCUCUGUCUCGAUCCUGUCAAUUUCCACCAAGGGACAGGUCACUCUGGCCUAGGGGACACUCUGCCACUUGACCUUAGUUUGGACAUUUAGCUAAUAAUGUUGGUAUCUUGCUGCUCUCUCUCUCCAUAAGCUGACUUUCAUGUUUUGGGUCCGUAUUCAAACUUACAUUUCUCCCUUGU